GAAUAUCUUUUCACCCCAUGAGGAAUUAGUUUGGUAAAAGUACUUAAUGUUUACAGCAAACAUGUGGUAAACAUAUUCGUUGUUACAGGUUUCUCCGGAGACAGGUGUGUAACACCAUUAGGUCCAAGCCUGAAAAAUUUAGGGGAAAGUUACAAGGUCAUUUGCUAGGUAAUUUAUAUUUAUAUAAAUUUAUAUUGUUUAUAUUGUUUUCCAGCAUAUAUUAACUAGACAUUUUCACUUUACUAGUAUAUGCUGAUAACCAAUGCUGUUCAUGUUUUGUAUAAUAAUGUUCUUUUUCAUUUUUGUUGUAUUAUAUGUGCUAAUGCGUAGGCAGGCAUAUGCAUCACGUGUGCAUACACAGAGUGUUCUGUUGAGAUCCUCACCAGCUAAAAACCGAUAGAACUGACACCAUGAUUUGCAGAUUUCACUGUUAGAUGAGAUCAUCUUAACAGCCUUCUUACAUAAUCCAUGUCUUACUUUUGGCUUACAACACAUUUCUGUUUGACAGGUUGAUUUAGCAGCGACAUCAAUUCCUGCUGCAUGUGCCUGUGUCCCAUCCCCUUGCUUUAGCACCAGUAACUUCCACCUAUUCAAAGUGUCAGAUUCUCCUUACUGUUUCUGAAGCUGGAUGGAAACUGUGGUGCUGUGAUUCAAACAGGGGUGUGCUGUAGGGUUAUGACUCACCGUGACUCAACAUGAACUCAUAAAGCCACAUCAGCCCAGGUCUUCAUGUGAUUUAAAGAUUUCAAGUGGUAGAGGAUCUACAAUGUUCCUUAUUCCUGUGGACUUUGCAACACCACAGAAAAUAUUGUUCUUUGUUAUAGGAGCUGAAUAUUUGAGAGAGAGCAACAUGAAGACUAAAUACUCUCACAUAUUCCUGGUGUCAAAAAUUCUUGUGUGGCAAGGAAACAGCAGUACAUCUCCUGAUCUCCAGACAGCAUGGGAACAGCUGAAUCAUCCAGUCCU
rnacentral:lncRNA from 1 species